UACAGAGGGUGCGAGCGUUAAUCGGAAUUACUGGGCGUAAAGCGUGCGUAGACGGCUAUCUAAGUCGGGUGUGAAAGCCCCGGGCUCAACCUGGGAAUUGCAUUCGAGACUGAAUAGCUAGGGUGCGGUAGAGGGAAGCGGAAUUUCCGGUGUAGCGGUGAAAUGCGUAGAUAAUCGGAAGGAACAUCAGUGGCGAAAGCGGACUUCCUGGACCAG
rnacentral:rRNA from 1 species